GACGAACGCUGGCGGCGUGCCUAAUACAUGCAAGUAGAACGCUGAAGGAGGAGCUUGCUUCUCCGGAUGAGUUGCGAACGGGUGAGUAACGCGUAGGUAACCUGCCUGGUAGCGGGGGAUAACUAUUGGAAACGAUAGCUAAUACCGCAUAAGAGUAGAUGUUGCAUGACAUUUGCUUAAAAGGUGCAAUUGCAUCACUACCAGAUGGACCUGCGUUGUAUUAGCUAGUUGGUGGGGUAACGGCUCACCAAGGCGACGAUACAUAGCCGACCUGAGAGGGUGAUCGGCCACACUGGGACGGAGACACGGCCCAGACUCCUACGGGAGGCAGCAGUAGGGAAUCUUCGGCAAUGGACGGAAGUCUGACCGAGCAACGCCGCGUGAGUGAAGAAGGUUUUCGGAUCGUAAAGCUCUGUUGUAAGAGAAGAACGAGUGUGAGAGUGGAAAGUUCACACUGUGACGGUAUCUGACCAGAAAGGGACGGCUAACUACGUG
rnacentral:rRNA from 1 species